UAGCUGCUGUAUUCACCGUGCUGAAGGAGG
rnacentral:piRNA from 1 species